rnacentral:rRNA from 1 species
UGGGGAAUUUUGGACAAUGGGCGAAAGCCUGAUCCAGCAAUGCCGCGUGUGUGAAGAAGGCCUUCGGGUUGUAAAGCACUUUUGUCCGGAAAGAAAUCCUUGGCUCUAAUACAGUCGGGGGAUGACGGUACCGGAAGAAUAAGCACCGGCUAACUACGUGCCAGCAGCCGCGGUAAUACGUAGGGUGCAAGCGUUAAUCGGAAUUACUGGGCGUAAAGCGUGCGCAGGCGGUUUGCUAAGACCGAUGUGAAAUCCCCGGGCUCAACCUGGGAACUGCAUUGGUGACUGGCAGGCUAGAGUAUGGCAGAGGGGGGUAGAAUUCCACGUGUAGCAGUGAAAUGCGUAGAGAUGUGAGGAAUACCGAUGGCGAAGGCAGCCCCCUGGGCCAAUACUGACGCUCAUGCACGAAAGCGUGGGGAGCAAACAGGAUUAGAUACCCUGGUAGUCCACGCCCUAAAACGAUGUCAACUAGUUGUUGGGGAUUCAUUUCCUUAGUAACGUAGCUAACGCGUGAAGUUGACCGCCUGGGGAGUACGGUCGCAAGAUUAAAACUCAAAGGAAUUGACGGGGUCAUAGCUGUUUCCU